GACGAACGCUGGCGGCGUGCUUAACACAUGCAAGUCGAACGGAAAGGCCCUGCUUUUGUGGUGUGCUCGAGUGGCGAACGGGUGAGUAACACGUGAGUAACCUGCCCUUGACUUUGGGAUAACUUCAGGAAACUGGGGCUAAUACCGGAUAGGAGCUCCUGCUGCAUGGUGGGGGUUGGAAAGUUUCGGCGGUUGGGGAUGGUCUCGCGGCUUAUCAGCUUGUUGGUGGGGUAGUGGCUUACCAAGGCUUUGACGGGUAGCCGGCCUGAGAGGGUGACCGGCCACAUUGGGACUGAGAUAGGGCCCAGACUCCUACGGGGGGCAUCAGUGGUGAAUAUUGCACAAUGGGCGGAAGCCUGAUGCAGCAGCGCCGCGUGCGGGAUGACGGCGUUCGGGUUGUAAACCGCUUUCGCCUGUGACGAAGCGUGAGUGACGGUAAUGGGUAAAGAAGCACCGGCUAACUACGUG
rnacentral:rRNA from 1 species